rnacentral:lncRNA from 1 species
UUUUUUUUUUUUUGAAUACUGAUUAAUCAUCAUAUUACUGCAUUACACAGAUAUUUACAACUGCUAUUAUAGCAGAUAUAUUACACUGAUAUUUACAAUCAGAAAUACAUGAUUGGGACUUAUAUUAUUACAUUGAAUUCUGUGAAGUACAUGCCCAGACAAAUAAUCCCUUACAGAAGAGGGAUGUCCAUACUCCACUCGUAUUGCACGAGGGAGAGGAAAUUUUUUGAAAUAUUAAACAA